rnacentral:rRNA from 1 species
UACGUAGGGGGCAAGCGUUGUCCGGAAUCACUGGGCGUAAAGCGUACGCAGACGGUGAGAAAGGUCGGAUGUGAAAGCCCCGGGCUCAACCCGGGAACUGCAUCCGAAACCAUCUCGCUCGAGUGUGGGAGAGGGAAGCGGAAGUCCUGGUGUAGAGGUGAAAUUCGUAGAUAUCAGGAGGAACACCGGCGGCGAAGGCGG